CGUGCCUCCCUGGACCACGUGAGGCCGGCUCUCCCCUGACGUGGAGGUGGGGAGCAGCAGUGUGCAAGUGAUGAGUCGAAGGAGUGUGUGGGAUCUGAGCAUGAAGUCAGAAUCGGUUACACACCAAAGAGGGAUUCAGCUGCUUUGCUCAGACCUGGGAUGUCCCUGCCAAACUCCAAGUUAAUUGAAUAAUCUGACCACAUGAAAGAAAGGGAAGGAAACCCCCUCCGAAACGCUUUGUCAUCAUGAAAGGGCCGUUUCAAAGAACUGUUUGUGAAUUUCAUCAUGCUCGUUGCUCAGCCUGGAUUCUUGCAAGUUGUUGCUACAUUAUUUUUCUUUCUCACAAAAUGCUUUCCACUCUAGUUAAAGAUUAAAAAAAUCUAACAAGUGUAAACACAGUUUUUGGUUGAG